UGAGAAGAUGGCCAACUGCAAACCAGGAAGCAGACCUUCUCCAGACACAGAUCUGCUGAUGCCUUGAUCUUAGACUACCUUGCCUCCAGAAUGGAAACUGAAGGUAGACAUGGUAAAGCAAUUUGCCUAAGGUCACCCAGAUGGUUGCCAAGGAACAGAGGCCUGACAUGGGAUUUCAAGCUCAGACUCUCUCCGCCACAUCACCACUGCUCCUCUCUCCAUCUCCAAAGGACAUGGAUGAAGCUGGAAACCAUCAUUCUCAGCAAAAUAUCGCAAGGACAAAAAACCAAACACCGCAUGUUCUCACUCAUAGAUGGGAAUUGAACAAUGAGAACACAUGGACACAGGAAGGGG